AGCUUUGCGCAAUGGCAGCGUCGUCGCCGAUGAGGUUUAUCUGAGGCGCGAUUAUUGCGAAUCGAGAAUUAUAUGGGGUUUCAUGCCACGCACCAUGAUAGAUAAUUUAGGAGAAAUUUUUGAUGCUCAUAUUAAGA
ensembl:snRNA U4 U4 spliceosomal RNA